rfam:Gorilla gorilla gorilla genomic chromosome, chr16, whole genome shotgun sequence
CAGGAUCACAGACGUUUAAAUUACACUCCUUCUGCUGCGCCUUACAGCAGUAGAAGGGGUGAAAUUUAAACGUCUGUGAUCCUG